rnacentral:lncRNA from 1 species
ACUCGUGCAGAUAUUGUAAAACUUUACUGAUUUAACCAGUCCAUAGUAGCUCUAGAGUUUCACUGAUUUCAGAAGCUUUGCCUAACAUAAGAUAUCUGGAAUUACAUCAGGACAUAUUAAUAUAUAUGAAUUAACGUGAAAAUAAUGUAACUUUCCUUGGAGAUAAUCUGCAAUAUGGCAAUACCGACAAGUGCUCAAGAUGUUGGGACAAGAUCCAUGGCGGUGUAGGCCUUCCGCCCUUCCCUGUAGAGGCAACAAAGGUCUGACACACCACCGACGCCAUGGUCAACU